rnacentral:misc_RNA from 1 species
GAAAUGCGAUAAGUAGUGUGAAUUGCAGAAUUCAGUGAAUCAUAGAAUCUUUGAACGCACAUUGCGCCCCUUGGUAUUCCAUGGGGCAUGCCUGUUCGAGCGUCAUUUGUACCCUCAAGCUCUGCUUGGUGUUGGGUGUUUGUCCCGUCUCCGCGCGUGGACUCGCCCCAAAGUGAUUGGCAGCCGGCGUACUGGUCCCGGAGCGCAGCACAUGUCGCGCAAACGAGUGCCUUGGUACGGCGGCGUCCAUAAGCCCCUCUCUCACGCUCUUGACCUCGGAUCAGGUAGGGAUACCCGCUGAACUUAAGC